GGGUCAGUAGGUUGGUCGUGCCACCGGUACGUACUGGUCUCACUGAUUCCUCCUUCCUGAAGAACCGUAAUGCCAUUAAUUUGGUGUUGCGGGGAAACAGGACUGUUACUUUGAAAAAAUUAGAGUGUUUAAAGCAAGCUAACGCUUGAAUACAUUAGCAUGGAAUAAUGAAAUAGGACGAUCGAUCCUACCUUGUUGGUUUCUAGGAUUGACGUA
rnacentral:rRNA from 1 species